GACGAACGCUGGCGGCAUGCCUAAUACAUGCAAGUCGAGCGAACAGAUGAAGUGCUUGCACUUCUGACGUUAGCGGCGAACGGGUGAGUAACACGUAAGGAAUCUACCUAUAAGCGGGGGAUAACAUUCGGAAACGGGUGCUAAUACCGCAUAAUAUCUUCUUCCGCAUGGAAGAAGAUUGAAAGACGGCUCUGCUGUCACUUAUAGAUGACCUUGCGGUGCAUUAGUUAGUUGGUGGGGUAAUGGCCUACCAAGACGAUGGUGCAUAGCCGGCCUGAGAGGUGGAUCGGCCACAUUGGGACUGAGACACGGCCCAAACUCCUACGGGAGGCAGCAGUAGGGAAUCUUCCGCAAUGGGCGAAAGCCUGACGGAGCAAUGCCGCGUGAGUGAAGAAGGCCUUCGGGUCGUAAAACUCUGUUAUAAGAGAAGAACAAAUUGUAGAGUAACUGCUACAGUCUUGACGGUAUCUUAUCAGAAAGCCACGGCUAACUACGUGCCAGCCGCCGCAGUAA
rnacentral:rRNA from 1 species